ACACCCCCUGUGGGACAGGCUGCUGCCCAGAGGGCAGAGGUUACAGCAAACACAGGCGCUGAAGUGAACACCCAGGCUCAUGAAGCUCUGCAUGCAGGGCCCAGGUGGGCUUGGAUUCUUGCUGACCUACAAAGAAUUCCCACAUCGUGGCCAGUUUUCAGCUGGCACAGAUACACGGGGUUCUUCCUGACCUCACAGUUUGGAGUUCUUUCAUGAAGAAUGACAUUUUCUGUCCAUAAGGAUGAAUGUUUUCAAAGAAUCUCAACAUCUGUAACAAAAACAAAACCCUCCAAAUGACAAGAGCAACAACAACAACAAAACAAACAACAAAACAACCCCCAAGGACCUUGUGGAAAACAUUCUGGGCUGUGGGAGAGAAAUCCUAUAGUUCAUGUCCUGCCUUUCAAAUGUGCUUUCACAUGUGACUUUAGGCAAAUUACUUGAUCUCUCUAGCUCUGUAUGUACAUGAGCUCAGCAAUAUUUUUUAAUCUAUGGAUACCCAGGAAAUAGCAGUCUUAUCAGUGCUUCUUUAUUCUGUUACAGUUUAGAUAAAACUAUCUUUAUAGAGGUUUAAUAGUGUUUAAGACAAAAUGGAUUUUAUACACAAGUUACAUUUAUUUCAAGAAAACAAAUGGAAGAAGAAAAUAUCUAUGAAUUUUCAGCUUAUCUGGACAAAGACUUUUAUUAGCUGUUUCCUGGGUAACUUUUUGCAAGAAACCUUUAAAGAUAACUUUGUUUUUGGGAGUACAGAAUCUUGAAAUAUGACAAAGGGUGCUGAGAAGUCUUAAUACAAAGGCACAAUGUAUCCCGAGGAAGCUUUCACCAUGUCACCUCUACGGCUGAAUCUCUGAGGAAAAAAAAAUACUCUGCAAAGAAAAGCACAGCAAGAGAGCAAAGAUAAUCAGAUGUAUUAACACCCAGAGUUAGCAACAUCAAAGUGGGUAGGUCCUGGUUUGGUUCUGUUGGAUGUGCUUUGGGUUUUUUCCUGAGGCCCUGCACUAAGCUCAGUAACUCUUCUACAGACGGAAGAUUCAAGAGCAAGAGGGAACAUUUUGCCUUCCUCCACAGCAGCCUUUCUGAAGUAGAUUAGAUGUGCCAUGAGAGACGAUGCAGGGUGAUCUGCAGAAGGAGAUGAUACAAUUAACAACCACCAAUAGAAAAGAGAAGAAGUCAAUAAAUAUUUCUAUUUCAUUACUGUAAACUGGAAAGAAUAAUGUACUUGCACAACACAAAGAUAAAGUACCUUUCAGUUCACACAUCAUCUACUGAGGGUAAGCAAUGAGGAAUUUGUGUGACCCAGAUGACUUGCACAUCACAGCCCAAACUGGUGAUGAACAUUUUGACAAAUUGUGAGAACUCAGAAGAAGCUCAGAAGAGUUACAACAAUCUGUCAGAAGCAUUCAAAAGGGACAUUUCAUGAAAAUGUUUGGCAUGUUUCUAGGCCAAAGGAAAAUAAUGCUAUUUUAUUACUGUAGAUUAAAAGCUUCAAAUUUAAGUAAUGCCAAUGUACUUUAUAACUGCUCAAAAAAAAAAAAAUAUUUUUGAGGAAAUUAGUUUUUGGAUGCCAAAACUACCUGAAUUACUAAAGUAAUUAUUAAUAAUUACAGUAAUAACUCAGAGUUAUUAAUGCAAUUAUUAAUUAUUACAUUAACUACUUAAACUUUUGUAAGGAUUUAGAACCUUGUGACAUUCUACUUAAAAAUAUUGCACUGUGAACUACUAAGGACGAGCUGAUGAAUGGUAUAAAUGACAAAUUAUGGAUAAUACAAAAGGAGCUUUAUUCAUGGAGAAUUUUCAUUAUAGGUUUUCCUAGUGGGAAAAAUCACCAUGGAAAAUCUACCUGAUACAGCUCAAGAUUUUUGUCCAUGAUUUCGUAGUAAAUCUAUCUACACUGUCAAUAAAGUAUGUGACUGGUAAAAGACUAGAGGAAUGGUGAAAAAAUGAUGAAGUAGAGCAGUCAGACACAAUGACCAAGACCAUCUGGUGAACUGAUGUAUUCAGUUAAGAUGCUUUUUCAGUUCAGGUAAAUGAAAAAAUGUAUCCAUGUAAGUAUAGAGAAUGGAGAUAAUUUCCUACAGCAGAAGAACUGGAAUUGCAGAAGAUGUUUAAAAUAUACAGGGACAAUAGCAGAAAAAGAAUCAGUGGAUUCAGCAGUGGUUUUCUGUAUCAAAAACACUCAUUCCAACUCUUGUAUGUGGGAGCACUUAAAAUAAGAAGCAUCUUAUUACAUAGCACUGAAGAGAUGAUUAUUAUCAUACUAACAGUUCUAGAGCUUACAACUUCAAACAACUAUUAGAAAAUUGGUAAAGGAAUCAAUUCUAAUUAUUCAAGAUAUGGGGAAUAUACAUUCCAGUGAAUCCUAUUGGGGUUUUCAGCCUUUUUUGUCUGGCAGGGAAAGCCUACAUGGAUGUCUGGACACUUAAUGUCAUUAAGUUGGGUCAGGUCAGACACUUAAUACAGUGAUUAUUUAAUAAUUAAAUGCAAAUGUACUUGAGAAAUUAUUAAAAAUUGUGUUGGAUUCUUCUCUCCUCAUUUAUUCAUACCAGAGGGUAUAUUUUGGUCGCAGACUAUUGCCUCCAUAAAGGAAUAAUGUGGUGAAUCAUCAAUAUCUGAGAUAGGAAGAAGUUUGGACGAGAUGAGGAUAUAUUGCUGCCUACCACAGAAAGAGGAGGUUAUGGGAAGGAGAAGCCUGGCGCUGGUGCCAACCCAACAUCUUUGCAUCAGGUCUUGGCUGUGCCAGCUUUCAACCCAGUUGGAACAGUUUAGGAUUGUGACAAGAUUUAAGUCUGAGUAGCAGGGCAAUAAUUCCCAGUGGCCUAUCAUCAACAUUAAUGUGAUUUCCACACCAACAGGAAUAAUAUCAUAGAGAUAAUAGAAGUUACAUUUAUAGAAAGUGCAUAUUACAAAUUCCUCCCUCUCUACUCAUUCCAUCAGGAGGAGAGCUGUUCAUAGCAGAGCUUUAUAGCUAUAACAACAGAUAUUUUCUCUGUAGAGGUACUAAGUUAAAUCCCAGCAAUAUCACCCAGCAGAGCAGCUAUCACAAUAUCAGCUCCUAUGCUGGCAACCAGAAAAUUUUCUUUAUAGCACUCCUGAGUGUAUAUUUUAUGUACUACAGCUAAAAA